rnacentral:lncRNA from 1 species
AAUGAAGUCACCCGUGAUUGAUGAAUUUUGUUAUGGUUCGUGGAACCAAUGAUUAUGAAACCGAUCAUGUAUUCAAAAUGUGUGUUUUUCUGUGGUGGUACACAUCUCUAUUGGUAUGCUUAGAUGAGUAAGCAUUGGGAUGUGGGACCAAUGAUUCGAGCCUCAAUUGGGUUUGAGCCCUAACCAUGGCGGACAUGGGAGAAAGGUGGACACCAAAGUGGGAUAAGGCCAAUACGGUGAAAGAGACUCAAAGUGGGUAAAGUCACAUACAAGUGAUGGUU